ensembl:lncRNA
CCGGUCACGUCCAAGGACGUCAACGGAUAGGAGAGUUAAGAAAAACAGAAAAUCCAGUGUUCCUCACUUUCAAAUUCAAUUCAUAUCCGACCGAAAAAACGUUUGAAUGAUGUUUACCGACGUGGUGUCCCAUCUGUUGUUUCAAAAAAAAAUUAAGCCCAAAAUUGUUCAGACAUCUCUAGAAUUAACUACUCUAAUGCGGAAGAAAAUGAAAUGAUGCAGGGUAUAUUUCAGCGUGUUUACCCAAAUGUAUGGUCAUGGAUCACAGGUAGCUAUGACUGUAAUUCUUGGCGUUUGUCCGAAUAUUUCUCGUUGCUGUUUUUCUAAGAAUUUUUUAAUUAAGUGAUUUUGGGCUAAUUGAUAAUACAGCACAAGCCGCAGUAGGAGAGCGAUAAUUUAGUUCUACAUGCUGAAAAAUUACCUCGCUUACCGCACUCGUCCUAUGAUGGCAACAUUAAAAUGGGCUGUUCUAUGCAAGGGGUAGGACAGAGAGGGGAGGAUGGAUGCUACCGCUUCUGAGGGUUUUCAUUAGAUAACACAGCCACAAUGUCAAAUUUGGCUGUAUGUUAAACAUUCAUGAUAGAAAAAUGUACGGUUAGGGUUAGAUUUAAAAUCAGAUUUUAGAGAAUACGUUAUAGAAAUAGGCGGAGUUUAGGACUUCAGGCGGAGUUUAGGAGUUGUGGCUGCAUAUGACCACUGUUUUAGAGCGUCAAUUGAGAUUUCGAGAUAGUGCUGAAAAGACUUCUGCAUUACUUAUAAUACUUGUACAGCCGAAUCCGUCUAAAAAGAAAAUGGUUCGAAUCGAUUAUUUGCCAUUCAGUAAGCCAAUAGGGGAAUGAAGAACCACUUCAAAUAAGGAGGACAUGAGGUCUUGGCCCACACUUCUCGAGUACCAGGCUCUAAAGAUUCGUUGCUGCCACUGCCCAAAGUCCUCCUUGCUGUGUUGCAGAUCAAGAUGAUACCUGACGAUUCCAGCUGCCAGUUUGAUAACCACCCCCCCUCCACCCGGGUUUUCCCUGUCCUUGUCCAUCUGGUCAUGCUUCUGACCUGGCUUAGGACUUAUAGACUCUGGACACAACCCAAAUGCAUUUACUAAUUAUUACAACUUGUACUCUUAAAAUGUUCACCCGGCACAGCCAGAAGAGGAUUGGUCACCCCACUGAGCUUGGUUCCUUUCUAGGUUUCUUCCUAAAUUUCGGCCCCUCUUAGGGGUUUUUUCCUAGCCAUUGUGCUUCAACACUGUUGUUGCUUGCUCCUUGGGGUAUCAGGCUGGGUGUUUUGUAAAAGCACUUUGUGUCAACUGUUGAUGUAAAUACAUUUUGUUUGUUUGAUUGAGGUACAUUAACAAAAAUGAAGCAUGAAUUACACACAUAAACAACCAUUACUAACUACUAUUAUAUUUUUUUAUAAGAGACUAAGACAUUUUGUAUGACAGUUCAAGACUAAAGGACAUGGCUUGGAGAUUGACUGGUAGCUUGCUGUACCAAUAAUGAUAGCUUACAUUAGCUCCUCUGCACAAUGUGUAUGGUCGAACAUAGAGCUGGAGCGAAGCAGGGACACAGCCUGCCAACUGCAAGUGCAGCAUCAUCUGGUUAUUUUGUUCUGACCUCACUAAAGAAAUUUGAUACGACUUUGUCAAAUAAUGAUUUUAAUUGUGAAAAUUUAGGAACCAUAAUCAAUUGCAGUCAACACCAUAUACAUUUUAUGUUAUAGAUGUCACCUGUUUGGUUUACAUUUUAAAUCUCCCCCAAAGACGGCUCAUUGGUUUGUGCAGUAAUGUUAAAAAAACAUCAUGCCGAUGUGAAUGACCAAAGCGCUGUUGUUGUAUCAAGGCGCUAACAUUGAUAUUUGCCCUGCAACUCUGUCACCUCGCCUGCAAUAGUUAAUGUGGCCUUUUGUUGUGCCUCUUUCAAUUGGUGAGCAAUGUAUAACUUGAAAAAUGGUCACCAUCUGAAUGUUAUUGCAACAUACCAAUUAGCUAACGUAAAUGUCCCUUGAUUGCAUAAAUGAGUUAAAAUCUAGCUAGGCCUUCAGGGUUUGGACAGAAGGCUCCUGCCCACGUCAUUGCACCAGCCAUUCAACUUGAUUAGAGCAGCAUUUUGGAAUGAUAGUUGAAUCAACUACUGACAAUAUGACUUGUAAUGGGUGGGACUGUUUAUGAGGAGGCAAUUUGCUCAUUAUGCCUUUCUAUAAGAGCUGGAUAGAUGUUACUAACUGAGAGCAAAUAGCUAACACUUGCCUUGACUGCAUUUUUGAAGAUGUUCCAGCAGGUGGUUUCAACAAUUCUGCUGGCAAUUUUUUUAAGUACCUUAUCUACCUUUUAGAAGAUGAUCAUCAUUUGGUAAUUGUCACAGUUUUUUUUUUUGUGCAGCUUGCGUGCUUUUAGCUGUCUAUGAUAAUAUUAGUAUGUGACUAUGCAAGACUUACGGCUUGCAUUUAAAAUUUUGCAUUGUACUUGGUCAUUUCUCUUUGCUACGUGAACCAAUUGUAGUGCAUUUUGAUUGAAGCCUUGCCAAAGCCAAUUAAAA